rnacentral:misc_RNA from 1 species
CUGUGAGAUUACAUAUGCAUAUAGUGUUAAUGCUAUAAGAGUGUAGUAUCUACUCACAAGUUAUCAGGUUAAAUAGUUUUAUCAACUAAUAAAAAUGUUAUUGCAUAACUAAUUUUAUACUGUAGCCCUGCCACGAUAUCCAGCGAAAAUGAUUUUGCUGAGUAUCGUAUAAAAGUUAAGAUAUGAUGUUGAGAAUUUUUUUGAGUCGUGCAACAACAUUAACAGCAAACUAUAAUACAAAUCUAUCUUUUUAAAAGUUUGUAUUGCUA